UUCUGAUCAUGAUAGUACUCAGGUUAUUAGUUAUAGUUACAGCCUGGCGAAUUGCGUUGACUCCUAAUGGAUCCUGAAGUCUACGUUGUGGAUUUAACUUGCGUCCGUAUUGCAAAGACAUUGAUUAUAUUGAAAGUGUGUUUCCUUAUGUUUAAUACAAAAAUGGAUCAUAUUUAUCUUGAUAACCUAACUGAUACUAUAACAGUCGAAGGAGGGACUUAUGAAACCAGCUUCAUGGGACAAGGAAUUAAUGUAAAUGAGGAAAAUUUGCAAUCAGUUGUUACUGAUUAUUACGAUGUCUUAAAAGAAGACAAAAAAUAUGUUACUCCUAUUGGUAGUGACUAUUCCAAGUUUACAAUAGAUAGUAAAAGAAUAAUGCGACUGCGUGGCUCUCCAGAUAUUGAUUUUAUGAAUUCUCAUACUCGGUAACCCCUAGUGUUGUCUACAGUAGCUGGGCGCCAUGGUUGCAUCAACAUUAUUUGUAAUGAAUUGGGUCUUGUAGACUAUGACAACUCACAAGCAAAUCUUUCUGCAAAGACUACUAAGGUUCUUCAGACAGUGCGGACUGAACAGUGGCUGCCAUAGAUAAAGAUAAUUUUGAAGACAUACCACAACAUGCAAAGAUAUAUUCAGACGGUCUCGGAUAAAUCUUGUCAACCUAUGAUAAUUCUACAUUACAGGCAUCCUUGGAAUACAGUAUUAGAGAAUAACGAAGCCUUGACAAGGUCCUGGUACGCAUCACCACAUCUCCAAUCUUGGAGGCACAGAAGGUUCUCAUAAACUCAGUAUCGAGGGCAAUGUGUACAAGAGGAAAGAAGUUAUAUUCACAGAACCUAAUGUUGCAGUUAAUGGGGAAUGUUUGUCACGAGGACUCAGGAUCCUGGACAAUGCUCCAUCCUGUAGGUCUCUUCGUGGAUCCCUGUGUUGAUGAGGCGGAUCUGGCACUGAUGGUUCAGGGUGUAAAGGUACAGAGACUGUUGAUGCAGUAGGACAGCUCCUCCCAUGGUCUGGAGUGUCUGCAUGUCAAGUGCUGCCAUGUCACUGUAUUCACUGUA